CACUGUGACAGCCCCUCUCUCAUGGGUCCCAUCAUCCCUCCCUGCAUCUCAUUUCUGUUGGGAAUUCCCAAAGCAGAAGGAGUUUCUUUGCUGCUUCCCUUUUCAGAAACUUGGAGACCAUAUAUCUUUGCAAAGUGGAUUUUUAAAAAUAAAGAAGAAAAGAUUAAAUCAGAGAAGCUCCCAAGUUUUCUGCCUUCUGCCUGGACCAGCUUCCUGUGCUUCUUCCUUUCCAAAAUUGAUGUGGUAAAUGUUAUUGCAGUAGCACUGGCUCAGAAAAGCCCAGGCCUUCCAAGAAUGUAACCUUCAUGGAGAAAUUCUGCGACUCUUUCUCCUCUUGGGAGGCUAGAGAGGUAAGACGUAGAAGGAGAGAGAGAAAAAGAGACACGGAGAAAUUUGCCUUGUUAGUGGCUUUCAGGAGAACAAGGCCAGAAGACACAGAGUCCCGGACCUUAUCCACAAGUGUGAGAAGCCAAGAAGGAAAUGACUACCUCUAGAAAGCCUUUCCUGAACGCUUCGACGGAGCUACAAUGGAGAUGAUGUGGUCCACCUUUGGGGUAGGCUCGUAAGAACUGCAGUGGAUACCCUCUCUAGACUCACUGCAAGGGAAAGGAAGCAGGAGGAUCAAUGUGGAGGCAGCCGAACAGAACUGCAGAUCUACACAAGGACAACUAGAAAAGGGAGGUGGAGGUGGAAGCAAGCUGCCACCGGAGUCAUUAACUGGUUGGAUGUUCUCUCUGCAAUCCUCUGCUUCAGGACUCAAAACUUCCUCCUCAUUCCCAUCCUGUCACUUGCAGCAGAAACUAUUGCCUUGGGACUUGCCAGAGACCUGAAGAUUCCUGAACUCAAGACAUGGCUGGACUUACCAACAUGCUUGGUAAGUCCAGAAUGCAGCUGUGUGACUUUGGGGAUUUGGAGGCUCGGUCACAGAAGUCGCAGCUUCCCCACGUGCCUCUUCGUCUGCUUGCUUUUGAACAUUUCCUCAUGGGCACCAGCCUUGAGGGCCAUGCUGUGAGAAGCUGAAGCCGCUGGAGAGGUCCCUGUAGAAGUGCAGAGACAGAGAGGAGCAGAGGACCCAGGAGGCACCGGAAGCAGGUGUGAGGAACCAUCUUGUAAGUGGAUCCUGCCCCACAUGACACUGUGAGAUUCAGAGAUGAAUGGCCCAGCCAAUUUCUUCCCAAAUUCCUAAACCAUACAAUUGUGAGCUAAAUAAAACUGUUGUUUUAAGUCA
rnacentral:lncRNA from 1 species